UCUAUGGCUUUUUUGAAAGCCACCCAAUAAGAAUUGGUAUCAUUGG
rfam:Glossina austeni unplaced genomic scaffold Scaffold0, whole genome shotgun sequence.